GGAUCAAUAUGUCGGUCGUGCCAUCGGUACGUACUGGUAUCAUUGGUUUCUCCUUUCUGACGAACCAUGAUGUCAUUAAUUUGGUGUUAUGGGGAGUUAGGACUGUUACUUUGAAAAAAUUAGAGUGUUUAAAGCAGGCUCGCGCUUGAAUACAUUAGCAUGGAAUAAUGAAAUAGGACGUUUGACCCUAUUUUGUUGGUUUCUAGGAUCGACGUAAU
rnacentral:rRNA from 1 species